rnacentral:rRNA from 1 species
UACGGAGGGGGCUAGCGUUGUUCGGAAUUACUGGGCGUAAAGCGCACGUAGGCGGACUGUUAAGUCGGGGGUGAAAUCCCGGGGCUCAACCCCGGAACUGCCUUCGAUACUGGCAGUCUAGAGGAAGGUAGAGGCUAGUGGAAUGGCGAGUGUAGAGGUGAAAUUCGUAGAUAUUCGCCGGAACACCAGUGGCGAAGGCGACUGGCUGGACCUUUGCUGACGAUGAGGUGCGAAAGCGUGGGGAGCAAACAGG